GUAAGGUCUGUCAGGGUUGCCUUUGAGGCAGAAAAAGAGAGCGGAGAAAGAGGCUUGUGUAUUUGCAUUCUGCAGUGGAACAGAUGGAGCAUCUGUCAUCCAUAUGCAUGAGGCAGGCGGCUGCCAGCCUAUCACCUUGACCCUUGCUAUGGGACUGUGACCUUGGACUCAAUGGAACAGAAUGGGACCAGUCUGAGCUGUGGUGUUAAGGCUUUAUCCUGGGGCUGGGAAAAGUGGCUGAGCCUCGUGACUCCAGUAUUCCAGGCUGUGACUGAGACUGUGUAGGAAUGCUGCUCUGCUCUCUAACACCUGCCUGGCAACAUGCAAUUCAUGUUACUUAAUGAUGGAUGGAGGGGAGGAGACAGAGGCGGCAGUGCAUGUAGAUGCAGCGCUUUAAAACUGAAACACGUAUUACCUAUGACAGUAAUACAUCAUCGUUGUCAUCGGAAAAGGAAUUUAAGAUUAAAGAGCAGCGGACCUUGAGCCAGAUCAACCGGAUCAGGCAGGCGGGAUGGGAGCCAUGCUGGCCCAGCUUGGACUUAAGGCUGCUCCUGGCUAAUGUCCAGUCUGGACGAAAUGGGACUCAAAUCUGGCAAAGGAAGGGGUAAGAGACUGUUGUGCCCACAUAUUCACAGAGACCUACUCCAUGAACACCCAGAUCAAGCACUCGACGGGCGGACCGUGGUGAAGGAGCGCAAGACUCCGGCAGGAUGAAAGGAGGAGGACUCUGUGUUUACAUCGAUGAUGCUUGGUGCUCAAAUGCAGGCAAACUGGAUGGACACUGUCUCACAAAUGUUGAAGUUUUCAUGUUAAGAUGGAAACCAUGUUGUCAUCACUGGCUCUAUCUGCUGUUUACAUUCCAUCAGACGCAAAUUCAAAAAAUGCGUUGCAGAAUUAUUUCCUGGGUGUAUAUGUGUAGGCAAUGUAACUAUUGUAACUAUUUAUGUAUAUUGUUUUAUUUCAUUUUAUUUGAUAUGUUACCCUAUUUGAAUAUGAAUUUAAUUAUCUGUUAUAUGGUGUAGCAUAAAGGGACUACAAAUUUUAAUUUCAUUAUACAGCCUUGUGUUGUAAAAUGAUAAAUAAUUUACCUUGCACCUUGUACAUGAGAAAAUGUCACAAAGACACUUCUGUAUCUGAAGCAGAUGCCUUGGAAAGGAGCACAGCUUUCAGAGAGGGAUGGAGGGUAAAAAAGAUGUAUCUGUUCUCAAAAAGAUGGGUUGAGAAGAGAUAAUAAUUAUUGAACAUAACAAAGUUCAUCCUAAUGUAACAACAGAUACUUUCAUAUAUCUAAAAAAAAUGUCAUAUUCUACUUCAUAUGUACAGUCUUUACCUAAAUUUACUUGAAAUGGAACAAUGAUGCUGUACUUUCCCAUAAUUUGGGUCCCCUCCUGACAUGCUGACAAAAGCAAAGGCAGUAACAGCCACUUAAUUAUGCAAUUAACCUUUACACUGUUCCAGGGAAACUAAAAACAAUCAAAGUGAAAAAUGUAACAGAAAUGACUGCAAUCCAUUAUUUGAAUGAACUUUUCACAGGGUGUUUGGUCCCUUCGGUGGAAACAGAUUUCUCUCACGCACUUCUGCCUCAGAAUGCCAAUGGAGGUGACCUUUGCAUAAAAAAGAUGGAGGCAAAGUGACAUGCCAUUUUGUAAUGAAACAGCGGAGGAAUGUAUAUGUAUCAAAAUACGUCAGCCGAUAGAUUUCCACGUAAUGUGUUGAUAAUGAAACAACAGCAACAUUCAUUCAAUGCUACUAGUGUUAAUUUUCGUCAACUAAAACUGUGAUGAAAAAUAUUUGUUGACGAACCUUUUUCAUGACAAAAACAAGACUAAAACUAACUAAAAAGGAACCAUUGAAAACUACAGCUAUGACAAAAUGUAUAAAAUUUUUCAUCAACAAAUAAAAACUAAACAAUAAUGUGACAGACAAAUGAGCUAUACCGUUUUAAUGCAAAGCCUGAUUUAAUGACCUGCACACAUCUGCAGAAUCACACACUGUACAGUAUCCCUGUACAAUAAUAAGCCAUUUUCGUCUAGUAAUACUAUUUACUGUUAACUAGAGAUCUAGUAACAGCAAACCGUCGUUACACCAAUGCAACUUUUAAUAUGUAUUUUAGGUUAGGGUUAGGUACGUAUGUGAUUUCACUUUAGUUUACGGCACAGUUCUUUUGAAAUGUGUCGCAAAUUACCCUCUGAGAAAGUCUAAUAAGGGUCUAACAGUGGGAAAUAAAUGUCCUGGCAGCUUCCAUAAUGUUACUGGGGUUAAAUAGUGAUACGGCAUUAAAUAGUCUGAUGUCUUAACUGGAAUCGGAGUGUGUUAAAUGAAGGCCAAAUAAAUGUGUUGUCCUCU